rnacentral:rRNA from 1 species
CGUGAGCGAUGAAGCCCUUCGGGGUGUAAAGCUCUUUCGGCAGGAACGAUAAUGACGGUACCCGCAGAAGAAGCUGCGGCUAACUACGUGC